UAGUGGCGGACGGGUGAGUAACGCGUGGGAAUCUGCCCUCAGGAGGGGGAUAACGGUUGGAAACGACCGCUAAUACCCCAUAUGCCGAGAGGUGAAACGAAAUUCGCCUGAGGAUGAGCCCGCGUCUGAUUAGCUAGUUGGUGGGGUAAGGGCCUACCAAGGCAUCGAUCAGUAGCUGGUCUGAGAGGAUGAUCAGCCACACUGGGACUGAGACACGGCCCAGACUCCUACGGGAGGCAGCAGUGGGGAAUUUUCCGCAAUGGGCGCAAGCCUGACGGAGCAACGCCGCGUGAGGGAUGAAGGCCUCUGGGCUGUAAACCUCUUUUCUCAAGGAAGAAGAACUGACGGUACUUGAGGAAUAAGCCACGGCCAA
rnacentral:rRNA from 1 species